rnacentral:rRNA from 1 species
CCGCCGCCGUAACACAUGCAAGUCGAACGAUGAACUUUGGAGCUUGCUCUGGGGGGAUUAGUGGCGAACGGGUGAGUAACACGUGAGUAACCUGCCCUGGACUCUGGGAUAAGCGCUGGAAACGGCGUCUAAUACCGGAUAGGACCUCUGGCCGCAUGGUCGGGGGUGGAAAGUUUUUUCGGUCUGGGAUGGACUCGCGGCCUAUCAGCUUGUUGGUGAGGUAAUGGCUCACCAAGGCGUCGACGGGUAGCCGGCCUGAGAGGGUGACCGGCCACACUGGGACUGAGACACGGCCCAGACUCCUACGGGAGGCAGCAGUGGGGAAUAUUGCACAAUGGGCGAAAGCCGGAUGCAGCAACGCCGCGUGGGGGAUGACGGCCUUCGGGUUGUAAACCUCUUUUAGUAGGGAAGAAGGGCUUCGGCUUGACGGUACCUGCAGAAAAAGGACCGGCUAACUACGUGCCAGCAGCCGCGGUAAAAC